GUCUAGCACGUGCGGCCGCCAUUCAUGAUUCAUCAUCUCAUCUCAUCUCAUCUCAUCUCAUCUCCCUUCGUAAGUAAGCUUCUUCUUCGAGUUCCCCCGUUGCACUGCUGCUCUGCUGACUGCACUACAGCAACUGCACAAGUGGGUAGUGGGCAUCUGGGGAAGCAGCUCUCUCUAUCUACCAAACCAACCCUCUUCAAUUCUUAGCCUUCGACGUGCACUUGUUUCUUUCACCUCUUCAACACCUCAUCUCCAUCUGCUAUUUAUCUCCCUCCAAAAUACGAAUUCUCAUCUAUUUCAUUGGCUUGAGUAUGUGCGUACCUACGCUGGUUUGGCGAAACGUGCAGUUCACACAUUUUGUAAAUUAAUUCAAGUUUGGGUCGGAUCUCCGAGUUUAGCCGCAAGGUUCGUACUCGUUUGUUACUUUCCCCACUUUAAGGGCGAAUCGGCUUCGGAAAGGAGAUCAAGGCACUCAACUUGCUCAUCUCACUAUUAUUUGCGUCUCUUGUUGGUUUUCUUUGACUGUUCAUGUGCGUUUGCCUUUAUGUGAUGAUUGAGGACCAGAUGCAGACAAUUAUCAGUGUAUGUAACUGUGAAAACGCUGUAAUGCUCUUGAUGAUUGCUGUGGUUCCUAAUUGUCUGCCGUUUUAACAUUAACUUAUUGGGAUUGUGAGCUGGAAGUAAGUUCGUUCAGAUUUCAGCUUUUGAAGCAGAUGGAUGGGCCUGUAAAUUCUAGUGCUAGGCUAGAAGUGUCUGUUUCUUUUGGUAAGUUUGAGAAUAAUGGAGUUUCUUUGGAGAAGUGGUCAUCAUUCUCACCAAAUAAGUAUUUGGAGGAAGCUGGAAAUUUAUCAACACCAGGGUCAGUGGCACAGAAGAAGGCAUAUUUUGAAGCUCAUUACAAAAAGAAAGCUGAGGAAUUGGAGCAGGAAAAGUUGAUGGGCUGCCCUGUUCUUCUGAGCUCAGAUAUGUCAAGAAAUGAAUCUUAUGCCAUUAGUUUACCUGAAGUUGAUCAGGAAUUUAGUGUACUGAAUGAGGAAAGAUUGGUAGAAGAAAUUGCGCAGGAGGCCCACAUGACCCCUUUGACAAAUGGCUCAACCAUUGUUUAUGAAGCUGAGGAUGAUUGUGCUAGAUUGCCUGUGGGUGUCGAGGGAGGAUCCUUUGUAAAUGUUUCUGCUGAUGCAAUCAGUUUAGAGGAGGAAAAAGAAGAUGCAGCUGUGGUUGUGAAGUGUGGAAGCCCUGCAGUAGAUGAAACUAAAGAUGACAUGAAUGGUAAUGUGGAAGGGGCUAAAUUAGACAUUAGAAGAUAUGUUCAACCAAUCAGGCCGGAGACUUUUCAAAAGGGCUCUCAAGAAACUGUGAAAAACACUUCAGGAAGGAAAAAUGGAAAUGAACAAUCAGGUAGCUCAAGAAAACAAAAUUCCAAGUUAAAUGCAUGGAAUGCCGCUGAUAAGGCAACACCAAGUAAAAAAGAGAAAACGUUGGUUGGGAAAACGAAGAAAAUUGGACCGAUUCCAGUCAAACAAUCAGAGACUUCCUUUCCUAGAUAUUCAAAGCCAUUAUCAGAACCAGCACCUACAUCUGCCUCUAAAACCUUCAGAAAGCCGGUGCAUGGAUCGCAACUUGCGAGUAGCAAGAAUUCUCAGGUUGGAGAAAGCAGAAGAGCAGCUCCAACAUCCCUGCACAUGUCUAUGAAUUUGGGCUCUGCCAAGUCUUUGUCUGCUAUAUCUGCCACAAGGAAGUCUUUGAUAAUGGAGAAAAUGAGGGAUAAGGACAUUGUUAAGCCAGCUUUCAGGACUUUCCAGAAUCAGAGAAACGAUUCUAUCUCUGAUGGAAAACAUGCUAAGGUAAAACAAAUGAUGUCCACCUCAGUUGACCUGAAGAACUCUGCUUCUAGCACGCCAACACAAGGAAAUGCAGGAUUGAGGAGGGGUUCUGAAAAGCAGGCUACUCAAAGGAGUCAAUUGGGAACUCACUCAAAACCUUUGUGCAAAGGAUCAUACAGAAACCCUGCACUGGAUAUGAAAAGUAAGGCUGCCUUCUCACCUGCUGCUCGCAUGAGAAGUGAUGGAAAAGCUGAAAAACCGAAAGAGUUGUAAAGAAGUUGGAGGCAGGAUCAAUUGCCAGAGAAGCAGGAAAUACUAAGGUUAUUGCUAAAUUUAAGGAUAGGAAAUAUCAAUCCGGAAAGGCAAUGGGCGAUGAAGCAGGCAUUGUUCUCUGCAACUAGCCCGGGUUUAGACUGUCAACUAUUCCCUUCCUUAUAAAAACAAAAAAAUACAGGGGCAUAAUUAGUAAAAUCACAAAACUUGUAAAGUUGCAGUGUGCAUUGAGAUGGAAGUUACUUACAGUUACCACCCCUGGUUGAGGUUGAAUCAAUAGAGCAUCGUGCCCCCCAAAAUUUCCAGAUUCAGGGAAAACGAGAACUGGAUAUUAAUGUGAACAGCAGCAGAACCAGAGUAGGUCUCGGCUGCUAUGUAUGUAUAUCUCUUGAGCUUAGGAGGUAGUGCGGAGAAACUGUUGUCUGUUUCAUCUCAGCUGCUUGGGAGCUUGAGAGCUUGUUUGUGUACGUUCAGUUAAAAUUUUGUAUUAGUUUGUACAUGAACGGCA